rfam:Exophiala xenobiotica strain CBS 118157 unplaced genomic scaffold supercont1.3, whole genome shotgun sequence.
GGGAGGAUGGCCGAGUGGUUUAAGGCGCUGUGUUUAGGUCUCUUCUUGAACCGCAGUGGGAGUGAGUCCUCUCAACAUUACAUCAAGCAAAAAAUGAUCGCUAACCCCUUACAGAACCUCGUGGGUUCGAAUCCCACUCCUCUCA